rnacentral:rRNA from 1 species
UUCACCUACGGGAGGCAGCAGUAGGGAAUUUUCGUCAAUGGGCGCAAGCCUGAACGAGCAAUGCCGCGUGAACGAGGAAGGUCUUCGGAUCGUAAAGUUCUGUUGACGGGGAAAAAGAGCGGAGAGAGGAAAUGGUCUCCGAUUGAUAUUACCCUUCGAGGAAGUCACGGCUAACUACGUGCCAGUAGCCGCGGUAAUACGUAGGAUGCGAGCGUUAUCCGGAUUUAUUGGGUUUAAAGGGUGCGCAGGCGGACCAUCAAGUCAGCGGUAAAAUCGUGGGGCCCAACCCCAUCCCGCCGUUGAAA